AAUCCAUGCUAUGGACACUUUCAGAAAAGGUCCUUGAAUCACUCUCAUGUCUCAAACAAGGAUUCAAGCUCCAUCUGAACAAACGACGAUAUUUCAUUAUGAAGCUU